rnacentral:ncRNA from 15 species
GCUACUCCAACAGGCGAUGGUUCCCAACUGGACGGGAUUAAUAGGGAACACGGUGAGGAUUACCCAUCAGGGGCCUAAUCCGUGGCUGCCCCCGCAACUGUGAGCGGCGAGACGACGGUCGAAGACCACUGGCCCCCCCGAUCCACCGGGGAGAACGGCCGGGAAGGUGACCCGAGUUGAUCGAACCGCAAGUCAGGAGACCUGCCAUCGCUCUGGCGUCGCAA